GCUGUGAGGCAGCAGCUGUGGUGUGGAGAGAGAUGGCUGUGUAGAGCGGGUGAAGGAGCUGUUGCCACAGAGAAAGAGCUAUGUGAAGGAACUGUGGAAAGAGCAGCUGAAUAAUCCAAAGAGAAGUCCUCUCCCUUCUGGAAUAUGGAGAAGAUGGGGCAAGGCAGAACGUGGAACAAUUAAUGCAAAUCAACAAGGAGAAGAAGGCAUCCAGCUAAGGAUUCUGAAGAUCAGUGGACAAACAAAACAUCUGAAGAAAAAGGAUGAAUCAUCCAGAGGAAAUGUCCCAAGAAAAAAGAAUAAGUUGGC